ensembl:lncRNA
UCUCUCUCUGGAGGUCACCCUUAGUGGAGCUGUUCUGCGCGCCCAGGGUACGGUGCACUUACGGACCGUAUUUCUAGUCUUGUUCCUGCUGAGGUAGUGGUAAAGAAACCCCAGGCUGCCUGACAGCAAUACAUUGCUCAGAGUAAAGCUGCUGGAGCACACAAAAUGCUGUCAGGCGUCCGAGCUGAGCAACAGACUUCAUUCCUGAAUUGCACAGCUACCAGUAGAAGUGACCUCCACGCUGUUUGGCCUGUCCAAGGAGUUCACGCAGCUCUGAGUACCCCCAUUUCUACACAGAGUGGUAUCCCCCGUCGGCUAUCAGCUGCUACUGUAAGCCUUUCUGCUGCUUGAAGCCAGAGGGGCCAGACCCAGCUGGCCCUUAGGGACCUCCUUUGACCCAGGCCUCCGACGGAAGUGUACCACUGGUUAACCCAGAAUGGCAACUGUAGACCAAGGCUAUCACAGGCACAGUUUUCCCUUACCCAGGGAGCGGAAGGGACUCAGUCCAGUAAAUGAAGAUGGAACUGCUUACCCCUUUGUGAGGAGGAGGGCUCACACCCUACUAAACAAGAGCAGAAUUUGAAGCAGUGAUCCUUCCCUUGGGGCAGCCAGCCCUGAAAUGAGGUGAGGGAGGGGUGGAACCAGGCUGCACCCCUUUGUCAUCCAGGUGAAUUGCUUCCCUCUUUUUGCUCCUGAGCAGAACAAGAUUUGAGGAGGCGGAAAGCCUGUGAAGUCCAAAAAGACUGCUUUCCUACUUCCUUCCCGUUUGUGUUAGCUGGCUGUCACGGAGUGAUCUAGAUCAGUGUAUGCCUGUGGCGGGGCAGUGGGCCUGUUUUCCUGUGUUUGGCUUCCUUGCUUUGCCAUGAUGCUGUCUUGAGUUCAUGUGCUGGACUCUUGUAUUUCGUGUCUUUGUUUUGCUUUGCUCUGUUUUCCUUGUUGUUUGCCGUUCUUUUGUCAGUCUUGCUUUAUUGCUGCUCCUGUGUUGCAAUACCUUGGUUUUGUUCCGAUGUGGUGAUUGAUACUUUUCCCUUUCCCAUUCUUGGAACUCUUUUCUCCCUCCUUCAGGGUGUUCCUCUUUGUUUCUCGGCUUUUC